GAUGAACGCUGGCGGCGUGCCUAAUACAUGCAAGUCAAGCGAACAGACGAGGAGCUUGCUCCUCUGACGUUAGCGGCGGACGGGUGAGUAACACGUGGAUAACCUACCUAUAAGACUGGGAUAACUUCGGGAAACCGGAGCUAAUACCGGAUAAUAUAUUGAACCGCAUGGUUCAAUAGUGAAAGACGGUUUUGCUGUCACCUAUAGAUGGAUCCGCGCCGCAUUAGCUAGUUGGUAAGGUAACGGCUUACCAAGGCGACGAUGCGUAGCCGACCUGAGAGGGUGAUCGGCCACACUGGAACUGAGACACGGUCCAGACUCCUACGGGAGGCAGCAGUAGGGAAUCUUCCGCAAUGGGCGAAAGCCUGACGGAGCAACGCCGCGUGAGUGAUGAAGGUCUUCGGAUCGUAAAACUCUGUUAUUAGGGAAGAACAAAUGUGUAAGUAACUAUGCACGUCUUGACGGUACCUAAUCAGAAAGCCACGGCUAACUACGUG
rnacentral:rRNA from 1 species